AGUGAACGCUGGCGGUAAGCCUAACACAUGCAAGUCGAACGGCAGCACAGUAAGAGCUUGCUCUUAUGGGUGGCGAGUGGCGGACGGGUGAGGAAUACAUCGGAAUCUACCUUUUCGUGGGGGAUAACGUAGGGAAACUUACGCUAAUACCGCAUACGACCUUCGGGGAAGGACAGGGACCGUCGGCCGUGUCGCGGAGU
rnacentral:rRNA from 1 species